CGAUCACUAAUCCCUUGAUAGUGUGGUUUUAGAUAAAUCUAUUCUCUGAUAAAAUUUGUGGGCAUACGUAAGGUUCUAAGCCUACACCUUUUUUUUCUAAACAUUCCUACCUAUCUGUUGCACAGCGAAUGGAAGAGCAGCCAAUCCAAGUCUUUACGAGAUCUAUCUAUGCAAUUCUUUAGUUUUAUUUUCAGUUGAGUAUGAAAUCGCUUAUUGCAUAUGCUCAUGAAACAUACUCUGAAGAAGCUGCAUAUCAUGUGUUCGGUGGAAUGCCUAUGAGAGAUGUUCAGGCCCUGCUAUUGUUUUACAAACCUGCAUUUCGACGGCAAACGCAGCUGCAAGCUCUGCAGGAAACAUGAAAAACCAUCUAAGUGGAUGUUUGAUCAGAACAGCAAAGGAAAAGCUGUAAAAGCCAUCAAAGUGGACGUUUGAUCAGAAUAGCAACACGGAAAAGCCGUAUGGUUUCCUAAUUGGGGAUUGAAGAGGAUGGAAUUGGUUCUUCUUUAGAAGGCACAAACAAUGAUGUUGCAAGUACUGCAGCCUAUGGGUAGCCAAAUGCCCCUUCAUAAAUAAUAACAUCAUCUCAUCAACUCAGCAUAAUGAAGAGUAUUUAUCAGGUUUUUCGUUGAUAUGGACUAUCGGAAUAUAACUAGCUGAUUGGAAUCUUGUUAAGUUGGCGAAAUUUGUCCUUCAUAUCACAGAUGGUCAAGCAGAUAAGUUUCCCCCCUCCCAUCUUUUCAUUGCAUUUAAAGCAGGCUGAUAUGAUCUGAUCUAAAACUAAAAGGCACUGCAACAACUUUUUUUCUAAAAAUGGUUGCAGCUGUUAUUGAUAUUAUACUUGGAUUGAAAAAUGAACUACCCUAUAUUAUAAGCCACAUAUAUUCUUUACCAUACAUAUGCAAGACUAUUGUUCAGUGGAGGAAAUGCCCUGUCAGCUCAGCAUUUUUAUGGACACCAUAUGACCAAUAUUCCUUCUCAUAUAUGUGAAUGACCAAUAUUCCUUCUCAGCAUUUUGAUUACUACGAAUUGAUGCACUGCUUUGCAAAUUCCUGUCUGCUAAUUCAUUUUUCCAUCCCACUAUCGUUAGUCUAUUCUUCAGUUCCCAUUCAUUUUAUUUUUGCCUCUUGUGUGAGAUGUGUUCUGCAAACUGAUGUCGUCUUUCAUAGGCAAGUUUAGUGUAUUCUUUAGAACUGGCAUAGAUCCUAGAUAUUUUUAAAUGUAGGAUAUUACAACAAUUAUUUUAUUAUUUGACUUACAAUAAGCACUCAAACAAUAUUACAACAUUGAAACGAUUUUGAUACUAUCUCUUUAUUUACUUGAGUUGCGCUACCAAUGAUACAUCCAUGAAAAUCACUAUGUGACUCACACAAUAACUGAUGUCAUUGUAUUUUAAUUCACAGAACUGAAGCACCUCAAUUAACAGACUAUAAACAAAUUUAGAUUUAGUUGCAUUCCUAAAUGUGAUUUUCUGUGUCAAAAUGUUUUGGCACCUUUUGAAUUUAUUCACAUACUUCGGUGCGUCACUUAGUUGCUUUAUCAUAAUUUGCAUAUCUGCUGCCCACUGCAGGUAGCUUAAAUACAACUUAUAUUUUAUAUUUUAAUUAAGCCAUAGCAGCUUCAGUCCUGAUGCACGAGAUGCCUUGAUGCACGAGCAGGCCAUCUGAAUAGCAGGCCAUGAAAGAAGACAGGGACGUACAGAUUUCAUCAGGUUCGUGCGCAAGCAGGGAGCGAGCAGUUACUUCAUCCAAAAAAAAAACACAAGGAAUCUUAGUGCAAAUUAUUUGUACCGUUUUAAUUCCUGGUUGAUCUCUUCAUCAGUGAAAAACAUUGUGUCAAUAUUCGCGACUGCCAAACAAUUACUGUUUCUAUGAUUUCAGCUAUAUUCCAAUCACGAUUAUUCACUACUAAAUACAAAUUGUGUUAUUAGAA